GAUGAACGCUAGCUACAGGCUUAACACAUGCAAGUCGCGGGGCAGCAUGGGGGUUGCUUGCAACUCCCGAUGGCGACCGGCGCACGGGUGAGUAACGCGUAUCCAACCUGCCCUUCACCACGGGAUAACCCGGCGAAAGUCGGACUAAUACCGUAUGUUGUCCAUUGACGGCAUCCGAUUUGGACGAAAGGCUUCGCGGUGAAGGAUGGGGAUGCGUCCGAUUAGCCAGACGGCGGGGUAACGGCCCACCGUGGCUACGAUCGGUAGGGGUUCUGAGAGGAAGGUCCCCCACACUGGAACUGAGACACGGUCCAGACUCCUACGGGAGGCAGCAGUGAGGAAUAUUGGUCAAUGGGCGUAAGCCUGAACCAGCCAAGUAGCGUGCAGGAUGACGGCCCUAUGGGUUGUAAACUGCUUUUAUGCGGGGAUAAAGUGGCCCACGUGUGGGCUUUUGCAGGUACCGCAUGAAUAAGGACCGGCUAAUUCCGUG
rnacentral:rRNA from 1 species